rnacentral:hammerhead_ribozyme from 1 species
AUCCAGCUGACGAGUCCAAGAUAGAACGAAAUAAGCGUCCUGGAU